AAGCCUGAUGGAGCAACACCGCGUGAGUGAAGAAGGGUUUCGGCUCGUAAAGCUCUGUUGUUAAAGAAGAACACGUAUGAGAGUAACUGUUCAUACGUUGACGGUAUUUAACCAGAAAGUCACGGCUAACUACGUGCCAGCAGCCGCGGUAAUACGUAGGUGGCAAGCGUUAUCCGGAUUUAUUGGGCGUAAAGAGAGUGCAGGCGGUUUUCUAAGUCUGAUGUGAAAGCCUUCGGCUUAACCGGAGAAGUGCAUCGGAAACUGGAUAACUUGAGUGCAGAAGAGGGUAGUGGAACUCCAUGUGUAGCGGUGGAAUGCGUAGAUAUAUGGAAGAACACCAGUGGCGAAGGCGGCUACCUGGUCUGCAACUGACGCUGAGACUCGAAAGCAUGGGUAGCGAACAGGAUUAGAUACCCUGGUAGUCCAUGCCGUAAACGAUGAGUGCUAGGUGUUGGAGGGUUUCCGCCCUUCAGUGCCGGAGCUAACGCAUUAAGCACUCCGCCUGGGGAGUACGACCGCAAGGUUGAAACUCAAAGGAAUUGACGGGGGCCCGCACAAGCGGUGGAGCAUGUGGUUUAAUUCGAAGCUACGCGAAGAACCUUACCAGGUCUUGACAUCUUGCGCCAACCCUAGAGAUAGGGCGUUUCCUUCGGGAACGCAAUGACAGGUGGUGCAUGGUCGUCGUCAGCUCGUGUCGUGAGAUGUUGGGUUAAGUCCCGCAACGAGCGCAACCCUUGUUACUAGUUGCCAGCAUUAAGUUGGGCACUCUAGUGAGACUGCCGGUGACAAACCGGAGGAAGGUGGGGACGACGUCAGAUCAUCAUGCCCCUUAUGACCUGGGCUACACACGUGCUACAAUGGACGGUACAACGAGUCGCGAACUCGCGAGGGCAAGCAAAUCUCUUAAAACCGUUCUCAGUUCGGACUGCAGGCUGCAACUCGCCUGCACGAAGUCGGAAUCGCUAGUAAUCGCGGAUCAGCAUGCCGCGGUGAAUACGUUCCCGGGCCUUGUACACACCGCCCGUCACACCAUGAGAGUUUGUAACACCCAAAGUCGGUGG
rnacentral:rRNA from 2 species